rnacentral:tRNA from 1 species
GGAUUGUGACUCAGUGGUAGGGUGCUUGCCUAGCAUGUGUGAGGUGCUGGGUUCGAUCCUCGGCACCA